GGAUUAGAUACCCUGGUAGUCCAUGCCGUAAACGUUGGGAACUAGAUGUAGGGACCAUUCCACGGUUUCUGUGUCGCAGCUAACGCAUUAAGUUCCCCGCCUGGGGAGUACGGCCGCAAGGCUAAAACUCAAAGGAAUUGACGGGGGCCCGCACAAGCGGCGGAGCAUGCGGAUUAAUUCGAUGCAACGCGAAGAACCUUACCAAGGCUUGACAUAUACCGGAAAAGUUCAGAAAUGUUCUCCCCGCAAGGUCGGUAUACAGGUGGUGCAUGGUUGUCGUCAGCUCGUGUUG
rnacentral:rRNA from 1 species